rnacentral:rRNA from 1 species
UUGAUCCUGGCUCAGAAUCAACGCUGGCGGCGUGCCUAAUACAUGCAAGUCGAACGCGAAAGUGGAGCAAUCCAUGAGUAGAGUGGCAAACGGGUGAGUUACACGUGGGUGACCUGCCUUCGAGUGGGGGAUAACGUCCCGAAAGGGACUCUAAUACCGCAUAACAUCCUGCCUUUUAAGAGGUGGAGAUCAAAGCUGGUGAUCGCAAGACCUGGCGCUUGUAGAGGGGCCCGCGCCUGAUUAGCUAGUUGGUGAGGUAACGGCUCACCAAGGCAACGAUCAGUAUCCGGCCUGAGAGGUCGGACGGACACACUGGGACUGAGACACGGCCCAGACUCCUACGGGAGGCUGCAGUAGGGAAUUGUUCGCAAUGGGCGCAAGCCUGACGACGCAACGCCGUGUGGAGGAUGAAGACCUUCGGGUCGUAAACUCCUUUCGAUCGAGACGAAUGGCUUCCGGCCUAACAUGCCGGGAGAAUGACGGUACCGAGAGAGGAAGCUCCGGCUAACUCCGUGCCAGCAGCCGCGGUAAUAAGGU